AUACGUAGGGUGCGAGCGUUGUCCGGAAUUACUGGGCGUAAAGAGCUCGUAGGUGGUUUGUCGCGUCGUCUGUGAAAUUCCGGGGCUUAACUCCGGGCGUGCAGGCGAUACGGGCAUAACUUGAGUACUGUAGGGGAGACUGGAAUUCCUGGUGUAGCGGUGAAAUGCGCAGAUAUCAGGAGGAAAACCGGUGGCGAAGGCGGGUCUCUGGGCAGUAACUGGCGCUGAGGAGCGAAAGCAUGGGUAGCGAACAGGAUUAGAUACCCUGGUAGUCCAUGCCGUAAACGGUGGGCGCUAGGUGUAGGGGUCUUCCACGACUUCUGUGCCGUAGCUAACGCAUUAAGCGCCCCGCCUGGGGAGUACGGCCGCAAGGCUAAAACUCAAAGGAAUUGACGGGG
rnacentral:rRNA from 1 species